GGCUGUCGUCAGCUCGUGUCGUGAGAUGUUGGGUUAAGUCCCGCAACGAGCGCAACCCUUGUCAUUAGUUGCUACAUUUAGUUGGGCACUCUAAUGAGACUGCCGGUGACAAACCGGAGGAAGGUGGGGAUGACGUCAAGUCCUCAUGGCCCUUAUGGGUAGGGCCUCACACGUCAUACAAUGGCGCAUACAGAGGGUUGCCAACCCGCGAGGGGGAGCCAAUCCCAGAAAGUGCGUCGUAGUCCGGAUCGGAGUCUGCAACUCGACUCCGUGAAGUCGGAAUCGCUAGUAAUCGCGGAUCAGCAUGUCGCGGUGAAUACGUUCCCGGGUCUUGUACACACCGCCCGU
rnacentral:rRNA from 1 species